AGAGUUUGAUCAUGGCUCAGGAUGAACGCUAGCUACAGGCUUAACACAUGCAAGUCGAGGGGAAACGACAUCGAAAGCUUGCUUUUGAUGGGCGUCGACCGGCGCACGGGUGAGUAACGCGUAUCCAACCUGCCCACCACUUGGGGAUAACCUUGCGAAAGUAAGACUAAUACCCAAAUGACGUCUCUAGAAGACAUCUGAAAGAGAUUAAAGAUUUAUCGGUGAUGGAUGGGGAUGCGUCUGAUUAGCUUGUUGGCGGGGUAACGGCCACGAAGGCGACGAUCAGUAGGGGUUCUGGAGAGGAAGGUCCCCCAACAGUUGGAACUGAAGACACGGUCCAAACUCCUACGGGAGGCA
rnacentral:rRNA from 1 species